GACGAACGCUGGCGGCGUGCUUAACACAUGCAAGUCGAACGGAGUGGCGAACGGGUGAGUAACACGUGGGUGAACUGCCUUGCACUUCGGGAUAAGCUUGGGAAACUGGGUCUAAUACCGGAUAGUGCAAGAUGGGCGCGGGGCCUAUUAGCUUGUUGGGGGGGUAAUGGCCUACCAAGGGGUCGACGGGUAGCCGGCCUGAGAGGUUGUACGGCGACAUUGGGACUGAGGUACGGCGCAGAGUCCUACGGGAGGCAGCAGUGGGGAAUAUUGCACAAUGGGCGGAAGCCUGAUGCAGCGACGCCGCGUGGGGAAUGAAGGCCUUCGGGUUGUAAACUCCUUUCGGCAGGGACGCGGUACCUGUAUAAGAAGCACCGGCUAACUACGUGCCAGCAGCCGCGGUAAUUC
rnacentral:rRNA from 1 species